UUUAAGAUUUUGUGAGAGAGAAAAAAGGAAAUUAGAUUCUUAAGAGAAAAAAAAAAAUUCUCCUAAGAUUGAGUUUUCUUCUUCCGUAGGAUUAAAUCAGGUCAGAUUCUUAGGAGAAUUUUUCUGAAAGAAGAAACCGAAGAACAAAACUCAAUCUUCUUUUCAGUUAACCCCAGAUAUCUUUGAGCGACAUGAAAAUCAAAUAAAAAAUCUUUUGGACGAGAUUAUUCCCGCUUGGUGUGAAUCUGUGCAACUAAAAGCCCCAAAAUCAUGAAGAAUUGCAUCCAAUUUCAUCUCCAUCUUAUGAGAGAACUUAUCUGAUUUGGAUUAUGGUGUUUUUACUGUUUCUGAUUUGCCUACACACGAGAAUCUGAGUGGAGAGUCAGACUAUGAUGGGUAUGCUGACUAAAGCCUUGCAUAAUUUGAAGGAGAGUUAAAGGGUCAAGGAGAUGAAAGUUAUGGUGAUAGCACCAGUUCUGAUGGAUCUAUCAAAAUUUUGACCAUCUUGAUUGUUGCGGGUUUUUAAACUCAGAGGGAAUGAUGAACAUGAAGGCAUCGAGACUACCAAGGAUCUUCUACAUCUACACAUCACUCGGCUCCUGCAACUACACAAGGAUCUCGUGCAUCUAGCCAGCAUUGAAAUGGAUUUACACCACCAUAUUCUUUUCCUACUAAGAAAUCUCCUACUUGAGAGAAGUCUUCUAUGCCUGAUUCCCCUAUUAGACACACUUCUCUAACUGAAACGCAGGAAUAUGAUACAGAUAAAAAAAUGUAUCUUGCAUCUAAGCAUCAGUCCUCUAACUCUCAACAUGCAUCUCAGUCGAUGGCAUCUAAAAAACUAAACUCCAAUGACUUGAAAAUGGACACUGGCCUAUAACACAUGGGUAUUGUUCUUUCAUCAGUGUCAGAUCAGGAAGUACAUGGAUUCUAAUUGAUGAUGAUUGCAUCAAAGUGUCGACUGAAUAAGCGAUAAAGACGGAUAAUUCAUUGCUCGUGCCAUCUCACGAGCUCAAAACAAUACUUGAUGUUGUUGAUAGUUUUGUAUCUUUGACGAAAAGACUUGUGAUCUCUUGCUCUAUUAUGCAGCCACUUUCAGAUCCUGAUGAACAUGGUGCUGGGACUAAGAAGAGAAAGAACAUUCAUAUUCGAGGAGCGAGGAACUGAAGUCUCGGAGAUCCAGCAAGAGACUCAAGACUGCAGGCUAAUUAUUAAGAGAAAUAGUCGAGGACUGUAGAAUUUGGAUGUUUAAACUUGUAAAUCUCCCUUUGAAAUUUUGUUAUUCUUAAGGUUAUUGCACAAUUGAUCAGAUAUGGAGACGUUUAUCAUAUGAUUAAUAAAAAUUAUUUUGGUUCAAUUCUAA